GUCGGGAAUUUUGGGCAAUGGGCGAAAGCCUGACCCAGCAACGCCGCGUGAAGGAUGAAGUAUUUCGGUAUGUAAACUUCGUAAGAAUAGGAAGAAUAAAUGACGGUACUAUUUGUAAGGUCCGGCUAACUACGUGCCAGCAGCCGCGGUAAUACGUAGGGACCAAGCGUUGUUCGGAUUUACUGGGCGUAAAGGGCGCGUAGGCGGAGUGGUAAGUCAGCUGUGAAAUCUCCGAGCUUAACUCGGAACGGUCAGCUGAUACUGCUGUGCUAGAGUACAGAAAGGGCAAUCGGAAUUCUUGGUGUAGCGGUGAAAUGCGUAGAUAUCAAGAGGAACACCUGAGGCGAAGGCGGGUUGCUAGGCUGAUACUGACGCUGAGGCGCGAAAGCUAGGGUAGCAAACGGGAUUAGAAACCCGGGUAGUCC
rnacentral:rRNA from 1 species